rnacentral:rRNA from 1 species
AUCAACGCUGGCGGCGUGCCUCAGACAUGCAAGUCGAACGAGAAAGUCCCCUUCGGGGGGUGAGUAAAGUGGCGCACGGGUGAGUAACACGUAGGUAAUCUACCUUCGGGUGGGGAAUAACCCAGGGAAACUUGGGCUAACACCGCAUAAUGCAGCGGCACCACAUGGUGACAGUUGUUAAAGCGGGGGAUUUUAGGACCUCGCGCCUGGAGAGGAACCUGCGGCAGAUUAGCUAGUUGGUAAGGUAACGGCUUACCAAGGCGACGAUCUGUAGCCGGCCUGAGAGGGCGGUCGGCCACACUGACACUGACAUACGGGUCAGACUCCUACGGGAGGCAGCAGUCGGGAACUUUGGGCAAUGGGCGAAAGCCUGACCCAGCAACGCCGCGUGAAGGAUGAAAUCCUUCGGGAUGUAAACUUCGCAAGAUUGGGAAGAAUUAGUAGGGGUUAAUACCCCCUAUGAUGACGGUACCUUUUGUAAGCUCCGGCUAACUCCGUGCCAGCAGCCGCGGUAAUACGGGGGGAGCAAGCGUUGUUCGGAUUUACUGGGCGUACAGGGAGCGUAGGCGGUUCGGUAAGCCCUCUGUGAAAUCUCCAGGCUUAACCUGGAACAGUCGGAGGGGACUGCUGGGCCAGAGGACGGGAGAGGAGCGCGGAAUUCCCGGUGUAGCGGUGAAAUGCGUAGAGAUCGGGAGGAAGGCCGGUGGCGAAGGCGGCGCUCUGGAACGUAUCUGACGCUGAG